AUCGUUCAUCUCUGGAAUCAGAGACGGAAGUAGGGAAACCUCCCGAAGGAACGCGCC
rnacentral:ncRNA from 17 species